rnacentral:rRNA from 1 species
UACGAGGGGGGCUAGUGUUGUUCGGAUUCAUUGGGCGUAAAGGGUGCGUAGGCGGCGCGGUAAGUCGGGUGUGAAAUCUCGGGGCUUAACUCCGAAACUGCAUUCGAUACUACCGUGCUUGAGGACUGGAGAGGAGACUGGAAUUUACGGUGUAGCGGUGAAAUGCGUAGAUAUCGUAAGGAAGACCAGUGGCGAAGGCGGGUCUCUGGACAGUUCCUGACGCUGAGGCACGAAGGCCAGGGGAGCAAACGGG